GCAGGUGUAGUGUAGAUGGUUAAGCGUUGGACUAUGACUCUGGAGACCAGGGUUCAAAUCCCUGCUCUGCCA